AUGGGAGGAAGAGGGUGGAGAAGACUUUGACCGUUGGGCUUUCAGAGUUAGAGGUCAGGGAAGAGUCUGGAAGCCUUGGAAACCUGCCAGGUUUUGGAGUAGUGGUGGUGGUAAGAUGAGGUGGGCAGGAGGAGGCAGUGAAGAAGUUCCAGGUGUCCAGGCAAGCAGGUUUAGGAAUUUGGCUAGUGUUCAAAAGGGGAAUACAGAAGACAAAAGUUACACUUUCUGGGUUGAAACUCAGAACAGGAAGGCUUAGCAGUGGGGGUCCACAAUUAUUUGCACCAGGAAGAGAUUUCUGGAGUAUAAAACACAGAUCAUGUCGAGGGCAGUUACUCCUUCCGUCUUGAUGAAUCUUCAGCAGUAGGAUGACUCUUUUCAUCUUUGCUCCUAGGCUGUUCUCCUGGGGUUGUAAAUUAAGCUUAAUUAGGAUUUUCUCCUUGUCACAGGAGGUCUUGGAUGGUAUGGCUUGGCUCUCUUUAUCAAUGGGCGCUUAUCAAUUACAGACAAGAGCUGAGGCAUCUUUAUGGAGACAAGGUUGCCUAUGAGACAGAAGCAGGACAGCUUUGCUGCUCAUCACAAACAGGUGAGCGAAGAUAGGGUUAAGAUGGAUGGACGUGGGCUUGUGAGUCAGGCUAAUUAGGAGCAACUGCCCUGAAGGAAAGAAGGGAGGAAGACAUUUCUUGGAUUCAAUCCAGGGGUUGCACUACCUUAGCCAGUUGCAGCCCUCCCAAGAUGGGAGCACAGUCCCACUCAAGUUCACGAAAGCUCUAAGCCUUAGAAAGCGGAGUCUCCAGUGUUUCAUCUCUGUAAACAGUCUGGGCUGCCAUUUAUUAGAAAUAAGUUUUGGCGUCACAAACUCAGGUGCAUAGUGAAGGAGAGUAAGAGGAACGUCAGAUUAGCAAAGUAAAAGGCAGGUUUCC
rnacentral:lncRNA from 1 species